rnacentral:rRNA from 1 species
GUUACUGCUAUCGGAGUUCGAUUAAGCCAUGCGAGUCUAAAGGUUUCUUCGGAAACCUUGGCGGACUGCUCAGUAACACGUGGACAACCUACCCUUGGGACUGGGAUAACCCCGGGAAACUGGGGAUAAUACCGGAUAGAUCAGGGAUGCUGGAAUGCGCCUUGAUCCAAAGCUCCGGCGCCCAAGGAUGGGUCUGCGGCCUAUCAGGUUGUAGUGGGUGUAACGUACCUACUAGCCGACGACGGGUACGGGUUGUGAGAGCAAGAGCCCGGAGAUGGAUUCUGAGACACGAAUCCAGGCCCUACGGGGUGCAGCAGGCGCGAAACCUUUACAAUGUGCGAAAGCAUGAUAAGGGAACUCCGAGUGCCAGCAUCUAAUGCUGGCUGUCCUUGUGCCUAAAACGCACAAGAUAGCAAGGGCCGGGUAAGACCGGUGCCAGCCGCCGCGGUAACACCGGCGGCCCGAGUGGUAGCCGCUAUUAUUGGGUCUAAAGGGUCCGUAGCCGGUUCGAUAAGUCCUCUGGGAAAUCUGGUUGCUUAACAAUCAGACUGCCAAGGGAUACUGUCGAACUUGAGACCGGGAGAGGUAAGAGGUACUUCAGGGGUAGGAGUGAAAUCUUGUAAUCCCUGGGGGACCAUCUGUGGCGAAGGCGUCUUACCAGAACGGGUCUGACGGUGAGGGACGAAAGCUGGGGGCGCAAACCGGAUUAGAUACCCGGGUAGUCCCAGCCGUAAACGAUGCUCGCUAUGUGUCAGGUACGGUGUGACCGUAUCUGGUGCCGUAGGGAAGCCGUGAAGCGAGCCACCUGGGAAGUACGGUCGCAAGACUGAAACUUAAAGGAAUUGGCGGGGGAGCACUACAACGGGUGGAGCCUGCGGUUUAAUUGGAUCAACGCCGGA